GUCUCAACAAAAACACAGUUGAAAGUGUUAAUCAACCUAUAAGAGUCAUUUCUAACCAACAAUUCAAAGUGUUAAUAAACCUAUAAGAGUCAUUUUUGUCCAAAAUAGAUGUCAAAAUUGAAAUCAAUGUGUUGAAAUUAGCAUGGAGGGUUAUGUCAAAUUUUUGUUGAUGUGGUGCCAACGUGGCAGUGAGGUGGCUGUUGAUGUGGUAGGUGAUGAGUCAAUGAUGUUAGCGCGAUGUGGUGUUGAUGUUGGCAAGAAUAGAGUCAACUUAGGUGCUUCACACUGACAGUUGUUGGAUGAGCUUGACUCUUUGACCCGACCUAUUAGUUUUGGCUUUUUAGGGCUUUGGAUGGAAGUUCCAACAAUGGAAGAAAAGUUGCUAGGAGAUGACGAGUCAUGGGCGAAAGUUAAAUGUCAAAAAAGGUCAAGUUUUUUUGGGGUUUGGGUUUGGGUCCAAGUUUGACCCUAUCAAAUCUUGGCUUCCAUUCAAAUUAUGGUGGUUGGUCGCCUGCCUUUGGUAAGAUGGUUGGUGGAGGAGGCACUUCUAUUUGGUGCAAGGAGAGUAGUUAUUUAUGAGGGCAUUUUUGGAUGGGUUUGUUUUCACAAUGGCUCUGUUU
rnacentral:misc_RNA from 1 species